rnacentral:lncRNA from 1 species
AUAUAUAGAGUAGGGUUAGAAUACUUGUAAAAGUAUCAUAGGGGUGAUACUUGUGUGUUUUUAGCCCUUGGAUGGAGAGAUGUGAGGUUGAGAUGAUGGUGGUAGGUGGUGGUAGGUGGUGGUAGGUGGAAUAGUGUUUAAUCCAAGGGCUAUUAAUAAUCAAAAAAUAGAUCCAAUGGCUUAAAACCUAAUAGCACCAUAAUUGUGAUACUUGUAAAAGUAUCAUAGCUCAACUCUAUAUAUAUAUAUAUAUCUUCGGAUACAUGGUGAUUUAUUAAUG